AGCGCAAAGACAUUCUUCAAACCAGCCAAGCACUUGCCUUGCUACCCUUCCUUCCUGCACAAACCACAAUAAAGGGCCCUGCUCCCUCGGCCUCCUGACUGCCCUGGUGCCUCCCCCUUGGCCUCUGCGUGGUGUGUCUCCUCCUCGUGGGAACUGUGAGUGACAAUCUUAGCAGCAGUCCUCUCCCGAUCUGUUGGCCUCACCAUCAUAAAACGUACAUUUUAAAACAGUCAGACACUAUUUUAAGCUCACAGAAAUAUUAACUCGUUCGCACCUCAUAACCACCCCGUCAGGAAAUGAGGACACAGAAAAGUCACCUGGCCAAGGCCACACAGGCACUGGCUCCACACUUUAGGAGUUGAACCAAUCAAGAUGAUGCUGUCUGUAGGCCCCACAGACAUCUUAAAUGCGUAAAGGAAAUCAAAACCAAGGGAAGCUGGGGUCCAGACUGGCUGCACAUGAGUCAAGGAGCAUGUUCACUUCUGGAGGCAGCCGCCAUUCCUGGGCUUGCAGCCGCAUCACUCCAGUCUCUGCCUUGGUCCUCACCAGGACUUCUCCCUGUGUGUCUGUGCUUUCACAAGGCAGUCUCUUCUCACAAGUUCACCAUUCCUAUUGGAUUAGGAGCCCAUCCUACUCCAGUAUGACCUCAUCUUUACUUGAUUUCAUCUGCAAAGAUCUUGCUUCCAAAUAAAACUACAUUCACAGGUACCAGGGGUUCAAUGUAUCUUCUUUUAGGGGGAUAAAAUUCAACCCACAACAGUG
rnacentral:lncRNA from 1 species